GUUUUAGUAUAAGUAUAUCCCAUGCUAUAUUUGGGAUAUACUUAUCUUAAAA
rfam:Papio anubis isolate 1X1155 chromosome 14, whole genome shotgun sequence.